UUUGUUGCACUCAAUGAACAAAUCUUUGUUGUUUAUUUUAAAAUUCAAGACAAUUUUUUUGCAAAUGCUGAUUCAAAACGUACCAAUCCCCAUCUAUCAUGCCUAUGCCAAUACAAUCUGUCACAAAAAAGUUUGCUUCUCAUUGUCACAUAGCUAUGGGGACUGGUGGCCUUCUAAAAUCACUGUCCAGCUGCUGCAAGUGUGAGAAGCGGUAAGCUAGAGGAGACAGACGGCGUUGCCAUUAAAAACAAUUCAACUUCAUUUUAAUGUUGCUAUGUAAGUUCACAAUAAAAUCCCUGGAAGUUCAAAUUGGAAAGAGCAGUUUGGGGUCAUGGGCUCAACAAUAUAAAGGCAGAUUCAGUGAGGGGUAAGGGUAGUGGCUCUGGGGGCAGACUGACCUAGAUUUGAAUGCCAGUUGUACCAGACUCAAGACACCUUGGGUAAGUGGUUUUAUGAAGUACCUCAGUUCUUCAUCAGUAGAAAGAGUGCUAACACCUCCAUAAGACUUUU
rnacentral:lncRNA from 1 species